rnacentral:lncRNA from 1 species
CUGCAAUCUGUAAGUGCAUGAAUUUCCUCCAGGCUGUCCAGCACCUGUGAGACUGCUCCUGAGGAGGUAGGAUCUUCAGAGAAGUCGGGCAACUCUUCAGGGGGAUCACCAUAGAAGGAGUUGAAUUUGUGGCUUGACACAGCUGCUAGUACUGCCCCCUUUAGUUUUCGUCUUGCAUUGAAUUUUCUCAAUUGUUCUACUGUCUCUGGAAGAUGAAUCUUGUAUGCAUAGCGAUCUCUCUCCUUCAACCAGGGAUGAUUCAGUGCUUCAUAUACUGUUAUCCUUUCUGCUGGAUCCAGCAUAAGCAUGCGGCGUACCAGAUCUUUGGCACUUUCAGAAAUAUGGCUCCACUGCCGAGGAUUCAUCUUGUAUUUUCCUUUAAUAAUGCCUUCAAACAAUCUUUCCUUGGUUCCAUAAAAAGGCAAACAACCACUUAGCAGGAUAAAAAGGAUGACACCACAACCCCAAACAUCUACAGGCUUCCCAUAAGGUUCCCUUUUCACCACUUCUGGGGCCAUAAAAUGAGGUGUUCCUACACGUCCUCCAGCAACUAGCCCAGAUUCUCCUAAUUGAAUUGCUA